UACGUAGGGUGCAAGCGUUGUCCGGAAUUAUUGGGCGUAAAGAGCUCGUAGGCGGUCUGUCGCGUCUGCUGUGAAAACUCAGGGCUUAACCCUGAGCUUGCAGUGGGUACGGGCAGACUAGAGUGCGGUAGGGGAGACUGGAAUUCCUGGUGUAGCGGUGAAAUGCGCAGAUAUCAGGAGGAACACCCGGUGGGCGAAGGC
rnacentral:rRNA from 1 species